GCUCUGGUGUUUUGUGUUGCUUUUUUAAAGAGGGGAUGGGGUAUUCUCCCAGAAGUGGAGCCAGAGAAGGAGAGGUGGAAAUAGGGGUGGAGAAAAUUGGGAGAGAGGACAGCUUUUCCAAAUGAUGAGGAAAGGGAGAAUAAACACAACAUAAAGUUUAUCAGUGGUUUGUCUGCAAGGAAAGAAGGAGCUGGUCGAACAAAGAAACUGACCAACAGGUGAAUGUGAGGGACAGAGGAAGCCAUGAGAAGAAGCCAUUUUGGAAGUAGAUCUCCAGCCCCAGUCAAGCUUCCAGAUGACCAGUCAAGCCCCAACUGACAUCCAAUGGCAACCACAUGAGGGACCUUGAACCAAAACAAAUUCCGGGGAGCCACUCCUGAUACCUAACCCUCAGGAACCGAGUUACCUAAUAAAUAUUUGUUGUCUUAA